UACGGAGGGGGCUAGCGUUGUUCGGAAUUACUGGGCGUAAAGCGCGCGUAGGCGGAUUGUUAAGUCGGGGGUGAAAUCCCGGGGCCCAACCCCGGAAUUGCCCUCGAUACUGGCAGUCUUGAGCCCGGGAGAGGCGAGUGGAAUUCCGAGUGUAGAGGUGAAAUUCGUAGAUAUUCGGAGGAACACCAGUGGCGAAGGCGACUCGCUGGACCGGUGCUGACGCUGAGGCGCGAAAGCGUGGGGAGCAAACAGG
rnacentral:misc_RNA from 1 species